rnacentral:rRNA from 1 species
GACGUAGGGCGCGAGCGUUUGUCCGGAUUUAUUUGGGCGUAAAGAGCUACGUAGGCGGCUUGUCGCGUCGUCCGUGAAAACCUGCAGCUCAACUGCAGGCUUGCGGUCGAAUACGGGCAGGCUAGAGUUCGGUUAGGGGAGACUGGAAUUCCUGGUGUAGCGGUGAAAUGCGCAGAUAUCAAGGAGGAACACCAGUGGCGAAGGCGGUUGC